UGUGAAGUGAUUCUUUGCUCCGGUAAGUAAUGUGAAAACUAGUGAUUGUGAUAAGUGAAUUAAUUCUAUUCCUUGUGUUUUGUGCGUAGUGAAUCCCAUCGAGUCGAUCAGCUGAUGGAAAGAGUUUGGCCGUGAAGCGGAAAGGGUGAAGCCGGAGUUAAACCGCAGGAUGGCAGGACAAAUCACAUCGGAGAGAGUGCUGAAUACUCGCCGUCUUGAGAGAAACCUCUGCCGAACAUAGGAACCCCAUCCCACCGUCCGCUUCGCAGAACGCCGGCAGUUUUUUUUACCUGUUCGUCCAGCGACCGCUUGCGCAUGAUGAGCGUAGGUGCAAUAAAAAAAGGGAUCGUA